rnacentral:tRNA from 1 species
UGGCGAGUCGUCCAAUGGUAGGACAGCGGACUCUGGAUCCGCCAAUCGGGGUUCGAAUCCCUGCUCGCCAGCCA